GGGCGUAUGAUGUAAGGAACAGCAUAUUUCUCUUCUAAAGAAAUCGACUAGGUUUGAAUCCUAGUAUGCCCACCA
rnacentral:tRNA from 1 species